UACGAGGGGGGCAAGCGUUGUUCGGAAUUAUUGGGCGUAAAGGGUGCGUAGGCGGCGCGGUAUGUCUCUUGUGAAAUCUCCAGGCUCAACUUGGAGUCUGCAAGGGAAACUGCCGUGCUUGAGUACUGGAGAGGUGAGUGGAAUUCCCGGUGUAGCGGUGAAAUGCGUAGAUAUCGGGGAGGAACACCUGUGGCGAAAGCGGCUCACUGGACAGUAACUGACGCUGAUGGCACGAAAGCUAGGGGAGCAAACAGG
rnacentral:rRNA from 1 species